rnacentral:rRNA from 1 species
AGUGAACGCUGGCGGUAGGCCUAACACAUGCGAGUCGAACGGCAGCACAGUAAGAGCUUGCUCUUACGGGUGGCGAGUGGCGGACGGGUGAGGAAUACAUCGGAAUCUACUUUUUCGUGGGGGAUAACGUAGGGAAACUUACGCUAAUACCGCAUACGACCUACGGGUGAAAGCAGGGGAUCUUCGGACCUUGCGCGAUUGAAUGAGCCGAUGUCGGAUUAGCUAGUUGGCGGGGUAAAGGCCCACCAAGGCGACGAUCCGUAGCUGGUCUGAGAGGAUGAUCAGCCACACUGGAACUGAGACACGGUCCAGACUCCUACGAGAGGCAGCAGUGGGGAAUAUUGGACAAUGGGCGCAAGCCUGAUCCAGCCAUACCGCGUGGGUGAAGAAGGCCUUCGGGUUGUAAAGCCCUUUUGUUGGGAAAGAAAAGCAGCAGGUUAAUACCCCGCUGUUCUGACGGUACCCAAAGAAUAAGCACCGGCUAACUUCGUG